rnacentral:rRNA from 1 species
ACUCCUACGGGAGGCAGCAGUGGGGAAUUUUGGACAAUGGGCGCAAGCCUGAUCCAGCCAUGCCGCGUGCGGGAAGAAGGCCUUCGGGUUGUAAACCGCUUUUGUCAGGGAAGAAAAGCUCUGGGCUAAUACCUCGGAGUGAUGACGGUACCUGAAGAAUAAGCACCGGCUAACUACGUGCCAGCAGCCGCGGUAAUACGUAGGGUGCGAGCGUUAAUCGGAAUUACUGGGCGUAAAGCGUGCGCAGGCGGUUGUGCAAGACAGAUGUGAAAUCCCCGGGCUUAACCUGGGAACUGCAUUUGUGACUGCACGGCUAGAGUGUGGCAGAGGGGGGAUGGAAUUCCGCGUGUAGCAGUGAAAUGCGUAGAUAUGCGGAGGAACACCGAUGGCGAAGGCAAUCCCCUGGCCUGCACUGACGCUCAUGCACGAAAGCGUGGGGAGCAAACAGGAUUAGAUACCCUGGUAGACAU